CAACAAAUUAUCGUUAGUCUUCAACAGGGAAAAAUUUAAUAGAAUACAAUAGACAACAAGUUUUAAAUCAAUACUCGCAGCGGAAAAUAUUAAUUCAUAGAAGAGUUACGUAGAGGAUGAAAUCUACUAAUAUAUAUGAAUUUAACAGUCCAUCAUCAAUAUUUUUAUCCCUGUAACAUCAAUCAAUAUAUAUCUGGAAUCAUAUAUUCAUCCUUGCACUACAGGCCAAGGACAUUCACCAGUUGGUCAUGUUCAUCUAAACACCUGUUCAUCUUUGCACUACGGGCCAAAGAUAUUCAUCAGAAAUCAUUCAUCUUUGCACUACAG
rnacentral:lncRNA from 1 species